rnacentral:rRNA from 1 species
CGAUUGUAGUCAUAUGCUUGUCUCAAAGAUUAAGCCAUGCAUGUCUAAGUAUAAGCAAUUAUACCGCGAAACUGCGAAUGGCUCAUUAUAUAAGUUAUCGUUUAUUUGAUAGCACAUUACUACUUGGAUAACCGUGGUAAUUCUAGAGCUAAUACAUGCUAAAAAUCCCGACUUCGGAAGGGAUGUAUUUAUUAGAUUAAAAGCCAACGCCCUUCGGGGCUCUCUGGUGAUUCAUAAUAACCGGUCGAAUCGCAUGGCCUUGCGCCGGCGAUGGUUCAUUCAAAUUUCUUCCCUAUCAACUUUCGAUGCGAGGGUCUUGUCCUCGCAUGGUUGCAACGGGUAACGGAGGGUUAGGGCUCGACCCCGGAGAAGGAGCCUGAGAAACGGCUACUACAUCCAAGGAAGGCAGCAGGCGCGCAAAUUACCCAAUCCCGACACGGGGAGGUAGUGACAAUAAAUACUGAUACAGGGCUCUUUUGGGUCUUGUAAUCGGAAUGAGUACAAUUUAAAUCCCUUAACGAGGAACAAUUGGAGGGCAAGUCUGGA